GGUUUUACCCGAAGGUGCUGUGCUAACCGCAAGGAGGCAGGCAACCACGGUAGGGUCAGCGACUGGGGUGAAGUCGUAACAAGGUAGCCGUAGGGGAACCUGCGGCUGGAUCACCUCCUUUCUAAGG
rnacentral:rRNA from 1 species